rnacentral:lncRNA from 1 species
UCCAACAAUAAUUUAUACAAAUUAAUUAUGGUUGGGUCGGUUAGACGGACUCAAGAGUAUAGUUUUAAAAAUCCGUUGUCUGAACCAAUUAACAUCGUGCUUCAUCGAUUUGGUUCAAUUUUUGUCCGAACUAGAAAAAUGUCCAACUCAAACAAUUUGAUUUAGUUUGAAUUUUGAUUUGAUUUGAUUUUAUCCGAACCAAUAAACACCCUUAUAUUUAAAUGAAUGGAAAACAUUGAUUAAGUGUCAAGCUUUUCUUAUAAUAGGAGCUCUCGGUGGAGGCAUGAAAAACACACAAGAAAUUGAUCAAUGUUAAAGAAGAUGAAAGGAUGGAAUAGUGAGCAUUUUUAUGAUUAAAACACACAUAGUGUUAAAGAUGAAGAGAGAGCUCAAUGUUGAUAUUGAAGAUACAAGAAUGAUGAAGAUCAAUGUAUUCACAAUAAUGAAUUUUAAAAAUAAGAAUAUUUUCAACGAAGGUUAAGAAAAAUAAUAGCUUCAUUAAAAGGGAAAAAAUAAGCAACUAAAAACUAAUUAAUUUUAGGUGAAUCGUAAUUAAAUUGUAACAACAUGAAAAAGAAAAUGGAAUAAACCAAAAUAUUCUAUUAAAUAUAAUUGUUAAUACUCUUUUAUUUUUGUAAAAGUUUGGUAUUGAAAUAGAAAAAACUUACCAAACACAAAUUUCUCUAUAUCACAAGAAAAACUAUAAUUCAAAAAGCCAUGAAUAAGUAUGAUAAAUUAAAAAAGAUAAACUAAAUAAUAGGUUAUUAUCUUCUAUCAUGUUUGAAUCUAUUACCAUCAUCUUAUAAUAUAAAUCCAUAACUACAAUAUUUAUUAGGUGCCAAAACACAAACUAAAUCAUAAGCUCAUGAGAUAUUCUAGUUAAGAGCUUGUUUUCUCAAUCCUAAUUCCCAAGCACUAGACACUUACACCUCUUGUCAAUACAAUAUUCUUUAAAAGGAGGCUUGCACAUAUCAUAUGGACAAUCAGAAUGUAUCAGACAAUAUUUACUCCAAUUAUCAUUCCAAUAUUGUUUAAAUAGUAUAUGAGCAUCAAUAGUUAUUACAAAAAGAAAUAGAGAAAGAAAGAUAACUCUAACAAAAAUAAAUUUGAUAAUUUCAAUCAUACUUUCCUUUUCAAAUGCAUGAAUAAAAUCAACUAUGUUUUCUAUCACUUUAUAAUAAUUUAAGCACCUAUGGAGUUGUAAAAACUAUUAUUGAAUUAUUAUUACUAUUAUUAUUAUUAAAUUUAUCUUUAAAAUGUCAUUAUUGUGUUUGGUCCUUCAAGAUAUUUAGUAUCCAGUAAAAUAAAAAACUUAUCAAUUACAAGAAUUCAUAGUUUUUAAUAAAUAUUUUAUCAUCAUUUUAUAACUUUUCAUGAUAGUAGAGAUAUUAGAGCUAAUGUAUAUGUUAGAUUUCAAUUCAUCAAUAAUAUCUCAUAAGAACAUCUCAUGAGAACGUGAAAAACUCAAAUUAAUAAUGGUGUAGUUUAGAAUUGAUGGAAAGUCAUAUUAAUAACAAUCUAAAUUUAAACAUAUAAUCAGAGAAGUUAUCUAGCAUAUCAAUCUAUAAGACGGGUUUUCUAAAUUAUCAAAGAAGCAUUAUUAUUUUCGUAUUUAGUUAGAUAAUAUGCAUAAUAUUUGAAGGAUUACAUUAUGAAAAGAUAAGAAAAUUUUCCUAAAACAACGAAGCAAUAUAAAAUAAGAGAGAUUAACGCAAACAAUGGUUAAGAUUUAGUUAGAAACAUGCUCUUACUUUUUGUAAUUGAAAAUAAAUUUUGAAUGAUUAAGUGUUGGAGUAUAUAAAAUAAUAUUUUAUAUUAUUUUAACAAAAUUUAUUUUCUUAAAACAAAAUUACCAAACAGGAGGUAGAUAAAAGUAUAUAAAACAGAUAACAAAAUUAUAAAGUAAAGUAAAUGAGAAAGUAAAUGAGAGGAUGAGUCGUUGAGUAAGGAAAAAUAGGACGAUCAUCCUAUUUGUUUGACGGAUUAAAUUGUGAUUUUGAGAAUGUCAUUUUUUAAAACAUUAAUGUUGGGAAUUUUAUUUACAUCCACUUGUUUGAUAAGUUAUUAAAAUUUUUAAGAAUAUUUUUAAAUUUUAUUUUAUUUAUAAUUUUAUUUUUAAAAAUAAAAAAAUAUAAAAAAUGUUUUAAAAUAAUGUAAAAAUAGAUAGUUAUAGUUGAUUCUUUUCUAUUCUUAAAAAAUAAAGAUCUUCAUCAUUUAAUAUGAGAAUAAAUAUCUAAAUUUUAUGAAUAAAUUAUAUUCUUAGAAAUAAAAAAACCAGAACAUAAAUCUUCAAAACUAAAAGCAAACAUGAGAACGUAGGAUUGUCUACCUAACAUUCUUAUAAAAU